rnacentral:rRNA from 1 species
AACGUAGGACGCAAGCGUUAUCCGGAGUUACUGGGCGUAAAGCGCGGGCAGGCGGCCAACCAAGUCUGAUGUGAAAUCUCUUCGCUCAACGGAGAGAGGCCAUUGGAAACUGGUCGGCUGGAGGGCAGUAGAGGUAGGCGGAAUUCCGGGUGGAGUGGUGAAAUGCGUAGAUAUCGGGAGGAACACCAGCGGCGAAGGCGGCCUUCUGGACGGUGACUGACACUGAGACGCGAAAGCGUGGGGAGCAAACAGG